UUAAGAUUUGUAUCGUUGUCGUUUAGAUUCUUUAAGAAAUAAGAUGUUCGUUCAUAUCUACAUGAUCGAAAUCAAAGGGAAAAAGAAAAAGAAGACAAAGGUUCUGGAGAUACGCGAAAAUUUGGCGCUGUAGAGGUUAUUGGCCAAGGAGCAGCUUACAACCCUCGUGGCAAAAAAUACUUAGAAAAUUACUAGUUUGUGUUUUGACAGCUAAGAAUUUUAGGAGCAACGACAGUUCUGGCAACCUGUGAUUUUCGUAGCCGCUCAACUUCGGUCACUUCGGGACAGUAAAACUCGCACGUUUCGCGACGGUCAGGAUGAUGGAAGUAGGGUGAGCAGGGAGACGAGGAGGUGCGUCGAUUGCACAGGGAUAAAGGAGUUAAGAAAAAACGUCAAGUAAUUUACAACAAUCGUAAACGUAAGCGCAGGCGCAGCCGCUUGAUUCAUAGUGAUUGCCUAACGGAACCACUGCCAAAACGUACUCCCGCUACGUUCUGUGUCUGGUUGUUUGACUGCCUACCAGCUCCGUUCCCUGGCAUCUCCAGUGACGUCUAUAUCAUCCCGAACCCUGCAAUUUCGAGGAAACUGCAUCACGAUUUACGAUCCUCCAGCUUGUAACUGUUCUCUUUGCGAAUACGACGGAUUGGACAUUUGCAUUGAAGCAGUAGGAGCAUGUGAAGGGCAGUGGGUCGGUGUCCGUCUGGUACGAUGACCUUGAGAGGAGUAGAAUGACUAGUCAGCAUAUAAGAGAAAAGUUCAACCAAUCAUCCUUUGUGUCCAACAUGACCAUCAGCCAUCUUGUAGAUGACAUCGUCUUGUAACGUGAGCGACAUUACGGCAAAGUGGACGAGCACGAGGGUGGGUUCUAUAGAAGUACACCGAUAAUAAUACACCGACGUCGACGUCGACGGGGAACGGCGUCAGCGACGACCGCAGGGCAGUGCACCACGACGUGGCUCUUUUUAUAUUCAUGAUUGCUGCCUGCUGUAACCUGACUAAAAGUACGAAGCCGAUAUAGUUUCGUUCUGAAACUCAAUAGCGUGCACAUCGGAAAUGUCACGCUCUCUAUCAUGGUCGAGUUGGCUGCCUGGCUGCUGUCCGUGAGGUUGGCCAACUGAAUAGAUAUAUUAAUAUUCUGUGAGGAGGAGAAGGUCGUGGGUGGGUAGGAAGAAGACAGGUUGGAUGUAAGAAGAAAGUAACAAUUACAAAGUAACGUGUGGACAACGUAUGUAAAAAUGAAAUACGUAUGAAGGAUCUUGAAGGUAUUGAUACUCUGUGCAAGGAUUUUUGUUUCUUUAAAUUCAUACAACAGUUCUUAUGUUCUGCGUACGGUGGGUUGUUUUGAUGUAAAUUACAAGAAUUGUUUGACUAUAAUGAACCCAUGAGAAGUCAUCGUGGUGGACUUUGUUGUGUCAUUUUGCUUUUUUCCUUCUGACAGUCCAAUGAACUUUACUGCAUCCUGGGGAUAAAAAGAAUUGCAGGAGUUCAAAAGUCCAAAGCGCGUCUGCGUCUCGCCGUGCCUGUACUUCUUCUGUAAACUAGUACUUAUACGACUCUGCGUUUCAUUUCUCCUGCGUCAUGACAACAGGCUCAUUAAUUUACAAGAAGAGACUGCUGCCCUGUCCACCGCCAGCAUUCACUCCCACGUAGGACUUAUUACACGCGCAUGCACAGACGUUUUUACUCGGGGUGAAGUUGAUGUUGAAAAGAUGCUAGAUAUUCUAUCAGUUAUACCAGUCAAAGUCAAAGGAAGUGAAUUUAUUAAGAAAAACUUUUUUUUUCAAACUUCUAACGUCAGCCAGUAAGUAAUACUCUAACGUAUUCCAAGUUCUAUGAUUCGAUACUGGUAUACAAUUUUCUAAAAGCACACUGUAACAACGAGCUUUGUAUUUUGAAUUCGAAUAAUUGAAAUUGACAAAACCGUUAGCUCGCAGACAUUUCUGAUAUACAUUUUUUUCUAUAGCACGAAUAUCCGUAUUAUAAAAGCACGGGGGUAAUAUCUUAAGGUUACCUCCUUCGUGCGACUACCUACGGACGGCGCGAUGGUAAUUAUCACGAAACGGGUUCGCAAUUAACCGGACGAUUUAAUUUAUUACCGGGCCGUAGUCGGGCCGUGGUAGUCGGACUAAGAAGACCGUCCGGGCCCUCCCGCGUUAAUUUAUUAAUCAAACCUGUUCCUGACACCCUGCACUCACCAUCUGAUCGUUGGCAGACGCGUGUUCGCUGGGAGUGGUUUAACAACGCACGGUGUAAUUGAUAAUAAAUGAGCUACACCCCUUGCUCCUUAACUCAUUCCUUGCUUUCAAUAAAGUCCCGAGCUAACGGACGUCUUCACCAGGUGUGCCUGCCGGUCUGCGCAUGCGCACGAGAUAUUGUAUAUGCUACGGAUAUCCGUUACGCGUAUCUGUGUGUUUCCAUCGUUUCUUACCAUCUUUUACGUCGUUACGCAUGUUGAUUCCGAACUUUGACCGUCUUACAGAUUUCCUAAUUACCCUGGUAAUAUCCUACGAUCAUGUGCAUAUAUAGUUUCCUCUUGUCGGUGCUUUGAAAAGUGGUGAUUUGUCAGUGAGCCUAACCUCUAAUACUUUUCUCCGAGGUACUUUUUGAAGUACGAGUGACGUUUCCAGGACGUAAGACGAGGGGGGAGCCUGCAGAAAACAGAUGCUCAUUGUGG